AGUGCCCCUGGCAGGAUUUCUGUGUAGUUACAGGGAGAAACUCUCCACGGGUGCUGAGAUGUCUUUGACACCUCGCUGAGUAAGGUUGGCAGAGCUUCCUUCACAACAGCCGGAAACGGUUUCCAUUGAAAACCUUCCUCAGGCAGCAGGACAGAAAGCAGACUUGGGUGACACCUUUUGUUUCUCUGUGUUCACUUUCACCAUCACCUACUCUUCCGUGGCCAGUGAUGUUCCAGCAGGUGGCUGGGUCCUGCUGUGAGGACAACAUGGAGCAGAGCCCAGGCUUACCUACAAUGGACAUGCAGUGAUGCCAGGGCCUUCUGGAAGUGCCUGUUUGGCAGUUGGAGCUGGCUGGGGGCUGGGACGUAUCUGGACUGUCUGCCACAACACCAACCCACAGCCCCCUUUCGGGCUACUUGGACUUCCUCACAACAUGGCGGCCCUGGGCAGUCAGAUGCUUACACAGCAUCUCAGGGCUAUAGCACGAAGGCACCUGCAUCACCUUCUGUGACCUAGCCUUGGAGGCCACGCAGCGUCUCUUCUGCCACAUUCUAUUAGUUGUGAGUGAGUCAUGAACGUGCUCAGAUUCAGGAGGGAGAGAACAUAAACCCCACUCUCCAGCAGUGGGAGGUAAAGGUCAUAUGGGAAGAAUAUCUUGUGGGAUGGGAGAAAUUGCAGAGGCUGUCUCUGGAAAAUGCCAUCUGUUACAAGGGACUUAGACCACCCCCGUCCCACCUCUCCUCCAGGCCUGGGUCCUUCCCAUGGCCACCUGCUGACCACUGGGGACUUCUGUGUCAUCCCUCCAGCUCUGAAGAUUCCUCUCAGUGAACUUCUUAGCUAAGCCUGCCAGCCCACAGCCUUCUCUCGUGUCCUGCCUGGCGAGGGGUCUGGCUGGUGUUGAAGGCAGCCCCAGGGCCUCACCUCACACUGCACAAUGACCCACGGUGCCCUGGACAAGAGGCUGCCCUUGGCAUUCCAGGCAAAAAGUCGCUUCCCUGAAAUGUUCUCCAGUGGGAAGCUAAGAGCGUGCCUGCCUCCCAUCCUGACCUCCUGCCCCUUCAGAAGCGUCCCUGCAGCUCCUGCCUGCACCUGGCAGGGAGCACCGCUACAGAGUUUGCUGCUGUACCGGCUCAGAAACGGGAGUUCCCGGCACAGGGCCAUCGGCGAGCCUCCCAGCUGGAGUGUGGGCAGAGGCAGACACUGGGGCUGCAGGGGAGUGGCCCCCAGGGUGUGAAUAGGAGGGCAUCCUGCAGGCUCCAGACAUUGCCAUGCGUGUUGCUGUGAUUAACCCCCAAACCCAGCUCCAUCAUUCAUUCACUCCUUCAUUUGUUCAUCCUAUUGUCCCAGGAGCUGGGCUAUAACAGAAAGGAGACAGGCCACAGACAGACAGGCAAGGCCAUCCCAGGCAGUGAGAGGCGACGUGAACUCUGUGAACUGAGAUGAUGAGGAAGAGAGGAGAAGGGCGGGGCCGCUUUAGAAAGGCUGCUGGGGAUGUCCUGUUUGAGGAGGUGACCCUGUCACUGGAGCCAAGCCAAGAGCUGGGGAAGAGCAUGUCAGGCCCCAAGAACUGCAGGUGCAAAGGCCCUGAGGCAGGACCCUAGCAGGACCCUAGCAGGUGCAGGUGCAGGUGCAAAGGUCCUAAGGCAGGACCUGAGCAGGUGCAGGUGCAAAGGCCCUGAGGCAGGACCCGAGCAGGCAUGUCUGAGGGUCAUAGGAAGCCUGUGUGCCUGGAGCAGAGGGUACAAGCCCAACGUGGAGCUUGUGCAUGGCUCUCCACUGCCUCCCAACUCAGUCCAGGGGCUUCUGCUCGGCUUUCAAUGCCCUCCACUGUGGGGGCCCUGCCACACCUCCCCAUUCUCUGGGGGCCCCAGGAUUUCCCACAUCCUUGUUUUUUCCCAUAUUGCAUUAGGAUUUGACUUUAUUAUUUAAACAAGAAGCAGAGGCCCCCACUCCUUAGGGCGGAAACGUUGCUCAGAAUCACAUCCUGGAGGAUGGAGUGAAAGGGAUGUUGGUCUUAGAAGCCCUAAGAGAAGACGGCACAGAGUGGCUGGACUGGGGGUGGGGGUGGAAGAGACUGAGGAAGGCCAGGUGGACAAGGCGGGGUGGGGCCCACAGUCCUCAUUGCCACAGGGCUUUGCCAUCUUGCCAAGGAGCCAACUUGCCCUGAUUCCACGGAGCAGGCCACUGGGACUUCCCACUUCUGUGGGGGCGCUGCGACUGCCUCCAAGAUCCUCCCCAAAUCUCUCUGGGCCUCAGUGAGGUGCCUGGGGAAUGGAUUUAAGAUUGGUGGCCCAGUUUCCGGACAGCUGGGAGAUGAGCUCAGCCUUACUAAUGUGAUCGAAGUUGCCAACCCCUGCCCCGCACAUCCUCAGGGGACCCUAGGCUGCUGGCCACCAGCAAGGUUGUCUUGUCUGUUUGAUCUUCGAUUCCUGAGGGUAGUGGGCACCUCGGUAGGUGAUCCUGCCCAAAUCCCGCCUCCGCUUGUCCUCUUGGCAGGGCGGCCUCCCUCCCGCAUACCACAGCCUUCCUGCAAUGCUGCGACUCGGGUUCAUUCCAGGGGAUCCUUGAGCGCUGGCGGCACAGAGGGGCCAACCUUGAACUCAGCAAAGAGGAAUGCUUGACUCCUCUCCAGCUGGAAGGCUGUACCUGGGCUAAGAACUGAUGAGCCUGCUUGAAGGAAACACUCCGUGCUUUUGUUAAAGGGGAAGGGAAAAUAAAAUCCCAAAUCAACCUUGGAUCAAUGUCUCUUCCCCAGACGGCAGCCCAAGGCCUCUGCGGCCUCUGCAUCAGUCAGCUGGGAAAGCGGCACAGCCCCUGGGACUGUGGCUGGGCCAGCCAGCCUCCACCCAGACAGAGCCCGCAGCAGGCCGUUGAUUCACCGUUCCCCAGCAAAAGCGUCAUCCUGAGUCCCAUGGAAGAGACUGGUUAAUCUCUUACUGUGUAAUUAAUCUCUUACUGUGUACCAGGCACAUGCAUACAUCCCAUAACGCAUUCAGCCUCACACCAUCUACUUUACAAAGCACAUAGCACUACUGUCUUCAUCUGGCAGUUAGCAAACCUGUGGCCCAGAGGGGUGGACCAAUUUACUCAUAGCCACAUAGCUGUCAGGAGCUGAGAUACAAGCCCAGGCGUGGUGGAUCCAAAGCCUCUUGUCCUGGCUGGGCAUAAUGGCUCACACCUGUAAUCUCAGCACUUUGAGAGCCUGAGGCAGGAGGAUUGCUUAAGGCCUGGAAUGUAAUAUCAGCCUGGGCAACAUAGCAAGACCCUGUCUUUAUAGAAAAAAUUUUAAAAAUUGGCCAGGCAUGGUGGUGUGCCUGUGGGCCUGGCUACUUGAGAGGCCGAGGCGGGAGGACUGCUGGAGUCCAGGAGUCUGAGGCUGCAGGGAGCUGUGACUGCGCCAGUGCACUCCAGCCAGGGUGAAAGAGUGAUGCCCUAUCUCAAGAAAAAAAAAAAAAGCUCUUGUCCCAAACCCUAUAUCACCAGGUCCGUAGAAGCAGGAGUGUAUUGAAUCCAUUAGGGAGGCACUUGGCUACAAGUAACAAAAACCUUGGCUCACAGUGGCUUAAAGCAUAAGGUCAUUCAUUGUUUAUUUCGGAGGACAUUGAGAAGCAGGCAUAGCCCAGGUGGGUUCACUAGUUCCUCAGUGUCAGGAUACAGGGCUGGCAUCUCUGCAAUUCUCUUAGCCUUCUCCUCAUGGUGGCACCAUGGCUGCCACAGCUGCAGACAUCACUUCAUCCCACAAUGACAUCCAAAGGCAGGAAGGAAGGUGAGGUGGGAAGGAGGCAAAAGGGACCAAACCUCUCUUCCUGUAACCUUCUCAUUUUCUAGUGAGACCUUUUUCCCAGGAGCCGCCAGCAUACUUCCCUCACGUUUCUGGCCAGAAGUGGAUCACAGGCCUUCCCCGGAUUACUCAGGCCCAGAGGGUGCAAUGUGGUCCCCACUACAUGGUAGACAGGAUUUGAACUAAACAACAGUUCGCUGGAGUGGAAAAUAAAGGAUGCUACAUUUUCUUAUUGUGAUAAAAAAUAUAUAUCAUAAAAUUUACCAUUUUAACAAUUUGUAAGUAUACAGGUUGGUAGCAUUAAGGACAGUCACAUUGUUGUGCAACCACUACCAUCCAUUUCCAGAAUUUUUUCAUCUUCCCAAACUGAAACUCUGUCUCCAUUAAACACCAACUCUCCACCUGGCUCCUGCCAGCCCCUGGCUCCCACCAUUCUACUUUCUGUAUCUGUGGAUUUGACUAUUCUAAGGUUGGACUAGUCCAACCUGUACAUAAAUUGAAUCAUACAGUAUUUGUCCCUUUGUGGCUGGCUUAUUUCACUCAGCACAGUGUCCUCAAGGCUCAUCCAUGUUGUGGCCCGUGUCAGAAUAUCCUUCCUUUUUCAAGGCU
rnacentral:lncRNA from 1 species